GAUGAACGCUGGCGGCGUGCUUAACACAUGCAAGUCGAACGAAGCACUUUAUUUGAUUUCCUUCGGGACUGAUUAUUUUGUGACUGAGUGGCGGACGGGUGAGUAACGCGUGGGUAACCUGCCUUGUACAGGGGGAUAACAGUUGGAAACGGCUGCUAAUACCGCAUAAGCGCACGGCAUCACAUGAUGCAGUGUGAAAAACUCCGGUGGUAUAAGAUGGACCCGCGUUGGAUUAGCUAGUUGGUGAGGUAACGGCCCACCAAGGCGACGAUCCAUAGCCGACCUGAGAGGGUGACCGGCCACAUUGGGACUGAGACACGGCCCAAACUCCUACGGGAGGCAGCAGUGGGGAAUAUUGCACAAUGGGCGAAAGCCUGAUGCAGCGACGCCGCGUGAGCGAAGAAGUAUUUCGGUAUGUAAAGCUCUAUCAGCAGGGAAGAUAAUGACGG
rnacentral:rRNA from 1 species